rnacentral:rRNA from 2 species
UACCAGCACCCCGAGUGGUCGGGACGAUUAUUGGGCCUAAAGCAUCCGUAGCCGGUUCCUUAAGUCCUCCGUUAAAUCCACCUGCUUAACAGAUGGGCUGCGGAGGAUACUAUAGAGCUAGGAGGCGGGAGAGGCAAGCGGUACUCAGUGGGUAGGGGUAAAAUCCGUUGAUCCAUUGAAGACCACCAGUGGCGAAGGCGGCUUGCCAGAACGCGCUCGACGGUGAGGGAUGAAAGCUGGGGGAGCAAAC